UACGUAGGGGGCAAGCGUUGUCCGGAUUUAUUGGGCGUAAAGAGCGUGUAGGCGGCCAUACAGGUCAGCUGUGAAAACUCGAGGCUCAACCUCGAGACGUCGGUUGAAACCGUAUGGCUAGAGUCCGGAAGAGGAGAGUGGAAUUCCCGGUGUAGCGGUGAAAUGCGCAGAUAUCGGGAAGAACACCCGUGGCGAAGGCGGGUCUCUGGGCCGAAACUGACGCUGAGGAGCGAAAGCAUGGGUAGCGAACAGG
rnacentral:rRNA from 1 species